rnacentral:lncRNA from 10 species
GUUUGCAGUGAGACAAGAUCAUGCCACUGAGCAACAGAGUGAGACCCUGUCUCAAAAAAAAAAAAAAUGAAGCAGGGUCAUUUGUUCUGUAGAAAUUUCCAUAUUCUGUAUUUGGGUGAUUGCAUCCUUGUGGUAUUGAAUAUAUUUCUCUAAUCUCUGUAUUUCUUAUGAACUAUUAUAUCUAGGUGAGAUGCUGGCCAGUACAACUUUCUGCUCUGAUGGAACCAUGCUAGAUCUGCGCUUCCCACUUUGUAGCCAGUGGUCAUGCAUUGCUAUGGAGCAUUCAAAAUGUGGCUAAGAAACAGAGUCUCAUUCUACUACCCAGGCUGGAGUGCAGUCGUGCAAUCAUAGGUCACUGCAGCCUCGAACUCCUGGGUCAAGUGAUCUUCCUGCCUCGGCCUCCUGAGUAGCUGGGGCCACAGGCACAUGCCACUACCUCCAGCUUGGCUUAUUUCACUUAGUGUAUUUUCAAGUUUUAAUCACGUUGUAGCGUGUACCAGAACGUCAUUCUUUGAUAUGGCUGAAUAAUAUUCCACUGUAUCCAUUCAUCAGCUAAUGGACACUUGGAUUGUCUCCACCUUUGGAUAUUGUGAAUAAUGCUGCUAUGAACAUUGGUGUAAACACCUUUCUAUGAACCUGUUUGAGGAUAUUGUUUUAAUUAAAAGCAAGCUGCUACCACUACAUACCUAUUAGAAUGGCCAAAAUUCAAGACACUGACAACAAAUGCUGGUGAGAAAUUGGAGCAACAGGAAUUCUUAUUCAUUGUUGGUGGGUGCAAAAUGAUGCAGCCACUUUGGAAGACAGUGUUGGCAGUCUCUUACAAAACUAAUGAUAUGGACAGGAGGCAGGAGGGCGGGAUUCCUGGUGAGGGUUCUUACCCUCAAGCUUGGACCCAUGGCCCUAAAUGAGAACAGGCAUUCCUGUUUUCACGCCUGUACGUUGCCUUUUCCAAGACCAUUGUGGCCCACCCUGCUCUCUAUCCUGUGCCCAUAAGAACCCCAAAUCCCAGGCUCCACAAACAGAAGAGCAGCAGAGGGGCAGAGGGGCAGAGCUGCAGAGCAAGGUGGUGGAGAAGGAGAAAAGAGAAGAAGCAAUUGAGCAUUGAAGAGGUAGCUGGAUGGUCAGAGAGGAAUUUGGCCAGGGACAGCAGAACUCCAGGGGACGAUUAUCUUCCCACGCCAUCCCCUUUCCAGCUCCCCAUCCUGCUGAGAGCCACCUCCCUCACUCAAUAAAACCUCUGCAUUUACCAUUCUUCAAGUCCAUGUGACCUGAUCCUUUCUGGAUGCUGGACAAGGACCUGGGUAUUAAGAGGGCAGGGUGUAAAAGGCUGUCACCCUCACUCUCCACUGAGCU